ensembl:lncRNA
CUAGGACCAACCACUUAACCAAAGGGUUAGGAAUUUCCACCCUGAAGAGAUCCUGAAGAGAGAAUGAAUGUGGGUGUGGGAGAGCCCAUUCUUACCCACAGUACUCUGCUGGCAGCAGGUCAGGAUUCGGACACAAGUAUCAUUGGGCCAAAUUCAAGAUGUCAACAGGGCUGCUAGUUGCUCUAGAAGACAGUCUGAAUCCUUGCUUUUUCCAUCUUCUGGAGUUUGCCUACAGUGCUUGGCUUGUGGCCCCUUCCUUCAUCUGCAAAGUCAGCAAUGAGGGUUGGGUCCUUCUGACGUUGUACCACCCACUCCUCUCCCACUUUUAAAUACUCUCUGAUUACAUUGGGCCCACCCAGGUAAUUCAGGAUAAUCUCCGUACUUUAAGGUCAGAUGAUUAUCAACGAUCACUCUCCCUUGUAAUAUGAUACAUUCACAGGUUCCAGGAUGGAGCUAUCUUUGGGGCAGGGGUAUUAUUCGGCCAAUCACAGGACAUCUGGGAUAUAAAUAAGAAUUGUAAGCCAAGAAACCAGUAAACAUGUAGGAAAAUCUAAACAAAUCUUGUCUGUAAAAAAACAAAAUCUAAAUGUGGGUUAGAGAAAUGAUAGAACUAAAAUGUCAUUCUACAAUAAACUAUGGGCUGAG